rnacentral:misc_RNA from 1 species
CUUUGGAGUCUCAUGCUACAUCAGACAUUUGCAGCAUAUGCUCAUGUGACCAUUCUCAGACAAAUAUAGAUUGUUCAUCUCGGGGACUGACUUCGAUCCCGCAACCCAUUCCACCGAAUGUUGAAUAUUUGGAUUUGAGUUAUAACGAUAUCCAAGCAAU